GUUGAACGCUGGCGGCAGGCCUGACACAUGCAAGUCGAACGAGUGGCGGCCGGGUGAGGAAUGUCUGGGAAAUUGCCUUAUGAACGGGGGUAACUCCUGUAACCGGUAGCUAAUACCGCAUACCAUAAGAUGUGCCCAGAUGGGAUUAGCUUGUUGGUGGGGUAACGGCUCACCAAGGCGACGAUCCCUAGCUGGUAUGAGAGGAUGACCAGCUACACUGGAAUUGAGACACGGUCCAGACUCCUACGGGAGGCAGCACGGGGGAAUCUUGCAAAAUGGGUGAGAGCCUGAUGGAGUCAUCAUGGGUGUAGGAAGAAGGCCUCCGGGUUUUAAAUUAGGUUAAGCGGCCAGGCGUUAACCGCAGAAGAAGCCCCGGCUAACGUCGUGCCAGCAGCCGCGGUAAUAC
rnacentral:rRNA from 1 species